rnacentral:rRNA from 1 species
GGGCUCCCCUCGCAGCUUGCUCUGUUAGGGGGGUCUGUCAGCCUGUAUAGUGUAAAAGCUGGUGAGCAGCGCGACCCUCUGUCUGUACCCUUGUCUUUUGCGCACUCAUUGUUUCCUCGGCGGGUCUACGCCCGCCGGUUGGACAACUCUAUAACCCUUUUAAUUUUUACAAUCAGCGUCUGAAAAACCUAAUAAUUACAACUUUCAACAACGGAUCUCUUGGUUCUGGCAUCGAUGAAGAACGCAGCGAAAUGCGAUAAGUAGUGUGAAUUGCAGAAUUCAGUGAAUCAUCGAAUCUUUGAACGCACAUUGCGCCCCUUGGUAUUCCAUGGGGCAUGCCUGUUCGAGCGUCAUUUGUACCCUCAAGCUCUGCUUGGUGUUGGGUGUUUGUCCACUCCCCCGUGUUUGGACUCGCCUUAAAGCAAUUGGCAGCCAGUGUUUUGGUAUUGAAGCGCAGCACAUUUUGCGUCUCUAGCCUGUAGAUACUGGCGUCCAGUAAGCCUUUUUCCACUUUUGACCUCGGAUCAGGUAGGGAUACCCGCUGAACUUAAGCAUAUCAAUAAGCGGAGGA